rnacentral:rRNA from 1 species
UACGUAGGUGGCAAGCGUUAUCCGGAUUUACUGGGUGUAAAGGGCGUGUAGGCGGGAAAGCAAGUCAGAUGUGAAAACCAUGGGCUCAACCUGUGGCCUGCAUUUGAAACUGUUUUUCUUGAGUACUGGAGAGGCAGACGGAAUUCCUAGUGUAGCGGUGAAAUGCGUAGAUAUUAGGAGGAACACCAGUGGCGAAGGCGGUCUGCUGGACAGCAACUGACGCUGAGGCGCGAAAGCGUGGGGAGCAAACAGG